AUGUGUUGCUUCCCUUUUGUAGCUCCCAAAAAGAGGGAUGUUCUGGCCAACUCAAUGUGCUGUGUGGUAUUGUGGCUCUAACUAUUUCUUCUGCUCAUGUUCUGCCUUGGGGGAAGUAAAUACGGAGCAGAAACCCACAGGAGAGCCCUAAGGAGACAGUAGCAUCCCUAUGAUUGAUUAAAUUUCCUGCAGUGUGUGCAGUGAGAGAUUUGUGAACGUGGGGGCCAUGUGGUCCCACAGCCCUGCUUGUCUGAAGGACUCUGGGACAAGAGACUCUCUGGGUAGCUGAGGGCUUCGAAGAGGAGAGAAGUGACAUCCACAGAAGCAACUGCUUUCCUGAGCUGCAGCCAGACCUUUCUUUUCCUUAUCAGCUGGCAGUUGGUGCACACCUGUGGAUGCUGGCCAAAAGGGAAGGUGGUCAAAGGGAUGCAAGCUUCUAAAGAGAGAAUAUUUGAUUUUAAACACAAGAGCAGCGAACCAAACCUCCAGGAUGAAACUGUGUUCCAACCACCAGUGUGUGUUCAGUCCAUGGAGUUAUUUAGAAAUAGUCACCUUCCCACACACUAUAUGUGUACCAUGGAUAUCAUAUACUCAACACCAGCUGCUUCACACUGCAAAUACUGUAUUGGGAUUUGCUGCUUCCUGAUACAGCCCUAAAGCUCUGCUGACAGGAUGAAUGGUGGGUGCUCUGACUAAGGGCACCAUGGUGGGGGGAAUGUCUCAUCCUGAAGAUACUACCUGGUUCUGCUUUGGGGUCUAAACUAAUGAAACCUCGUUCUCCUAAAGCAAGCAGAGGGCUUGCUUUAUUGUCAGCAGAAGUGAUAAUCAGACUGAGUCUAAAAAUCUGCAUUCAAUUAACAAACCCUAAUUUGAAAAAGCCAUUGGCUAAGAUUAGCAUUUUACAGAACUAUGCUUUGGCAGCUUAGAAAUCUUUUAGUCCCGAAACUUCUUUAUGCAAAUACGUGCCUGUAUAGUAGUGAAAUUAACAAUGUUAAUAAUAAAAGAGAA